rnacentral:rRNA from 1 species
AAAGAUGGCUUCUCGCUAUCACUUACAGAUGGCCCGCGGCCAUUAGCUAGUUGGUGAGGUAACGGCUCACCAAGGCGACGAUGCGUAGCCGACCUGGAGGGUGAUCGGCCACACUGGGACUGAGACACGGCCCAGACUCCUACGGGAGGCAGCAGUAGGGAAUCUUCCGCAAUGGACGAAAGUCUGACGGAGCAACGCCGCGUGAACGAUGAAGGUCUUCGGAUCGUAAAGUUCUGUUGUAGGGAAGAACAAGUACCGUGCGAAUAGAGCGGUACCUUGACGGUACCUAACGAGGAAGCCCCGGCUAACUACGUGCCAGCAGCGCGGUAAUACGUAGGGGGCAAGCGUUGUCCGGAAUUAUUGCGUAAAGCGCGCGCAGGCGUUCCUUAAGUCUGAUGUGAAAGCCCACGGCUCACCGUGGAGGGUCAUUGGAAACUGGGGAACUUGAGGACAGAAGAGGAGAGUGGAAUUCCACGUGUAGCGGUGAAAUGCGUAGAUAUGUGGAGGAACACCAGUGGCGAAGGCGACUCUCUGGUCUGUUUCUGACGCUGAGGUGCGAAAGCGUGGGUAGCAAACAGGAUUAGAUACCCUGGUAGUCCACGCCGUAAACGAUGAGUGCUAGGUGUUAGGGGGCUUCCACCCCUUAGUGCUGAAGUUAACGCAUUAAGCACUCCGCCUGGGGAGUACGGCCGCAAGGCUGAAACUCAAAGGAAUUGACGGG